rnacentral:snRNA from 1 species
AUAAAUUUAAUUUUUAAUUAAUAA